AGAGUUUGAUCCUGGCUCAGGAUGAACGCUAGCUACAGGCUUAACACAUGCAAGUCGAGGGGCAGCAUGAAAGGAACUUCGGUUCUUUUUGAUGGCGACCGGCGCACGGGUGCGUAACGCGUAUCGAACCUGCCUCAUACUCGGGGAUAGCCUUGCGAAAGUAAGAUUAAUACCCGGCGGUCUCGGACGGCCGCAUGACAGUCCGAGUGAAGAUUUAUCGGUAUGAGAUGGCGAUGCGUCCCAUUAGCUAGUUGGUGAGGUAAUGGCUCACCAAGGCAUCGAUGGGUAGGGGUUCUGAGAGGAAGGUCCCCCACAUUGGAACUGAGACACGGUCCAAACUCCUACGGGAGGCAGCAGUGAGGAAUAUUGGUCAAUGGACGAAAGUCUGAACCAGCCAAGUAGCGUGCAGGACGACGGCCCUCUGGGUUGUAAACUGCUUUUAGUUGGGAAUAAAAAGAGGGACGUGUCCCUUAUUGUAUGUACCAUCAGAAAAAGGACCGGCUAAUUCCGUGCCAGCAGCCGCGGUAAUACGGAAGGUCCAGGCGUUAUCCGGAUUUAUUGGGUUUAAAGGGAGCGCAGGCGGCGGCGUAAGUCAGUUGUGAAAUCGUGCGGCUUAACCGUGCAAUUGCAGUUGAUACUGCGUCGCUUGAGUGCACACAGGGAUGUUGGAAUUCAUGGUGUAGCGGUGAAAUGCUUAGAUAUCAUGAAGAACUCCGAUCGCGAAGGCAUAUGUCCGGAGUGCAACUGACGCUGAGGCUCGAAAGUGUGGGUAUCAAACAGGAUUAGAUACCCUGGUAGUCCACACAGUAAACGAU
rnacentral:rRNA from 1 species